rnacentral:rRNA from 1 species
UACGUAGGGGGCUAGCGUUGUCCGGAUUUAUUGGGCGUAAAGAGCGUGUAGGCGGCCCUGCAAGUCGGGUGUGAAAUCCCACGGCUCAACCGUGGAAGUGCAUUCGAAACUGCAGGGCUAGAGUCCUGGAGAGGAAGGUGGAAUGCUUGGUGUAGAGGUGAAAUUCGUAGAUAUCAAGCGGAACACCGGUGGCGAAGGCGGCCUUCUGGACAGUGACUGACGCUGAGACGCGAAAGCGUGGGGAGCAAACAGG